AUACGUAUGUCGCAAGCGUUAUCCGGAUUUAUUGGGCGUAAAGCGCGUCUAGGCGGCUUAGUAAGUCUGAUGUGAAAAUGCGGGGCUCGACCCCGUAUUGCGUUGGAAACUGCUAAACUAGAGUACUGGAGAGGUAGGCGGAACUACAAGUGUAGAGGUGAAAUUCGUAGAUAUUUGUAGGAAUGCCGAUGGGGAAGCCAGCCUACUGGACAGAUACUGACGCUAAAGCGCGAAAGCGUGGGUAGCAAACAGGAUUAGAUACCCUGGUAGUCCACGCCGUAAACGAUGAUUACUAGGUGUUGGGGGUCGAACCUCAGCGCCCAAGCUAACGCGAUAAGUAAUCCGCCUGGGGAGUACGUACGCAAGUAUGAAACUUAAAGGAAUUGACGGGG
rnacentral:rRNA from 1 species